AAUUGGAGGGCAAGUCUGGUGCCAGCAGCCGCGGUAAUUCCAGCUCCAAUAGCGUAUAUUAAAGUUGUUGCAGUUAAAAAGCUCGUAGUUGAAUUUCGGGGUCAGUAGGUUGGUCGUGCCACAGGUAUGAACUGGUCUCACUGAUUCCUCCUUCCUGAUGAACCGUAAUGCCAUUAAUUUGGUGUUGCGGGGAGACUGGACUGUUACUUUGAAAAAAUUAGAGUGUUUAAAGCAGGCUAACGCUUGAAUACAUUAGCAUGGAAUAAUGAAAUAGGACGUUCGAUCUUAUUUUGUUGGUUUCUAGGAUUGACGUAAUGAUUAAUAGGGAUAGUUGGGGGCAUUAGUAUUCAAUUGUCAGAGGUGAAAUUCUUGGAUUUAUUGAAGACUAACUACUGCGAAAGCAUUUGCCAAGGAUGUUUUCAUUAAUCAAGAACGAAAGUUAGGGGAUCGAAGACGAUCAGAUACCGUCGUAGUCUUAACCAUAAACUAUGCCGACUAGGGAUCGGAUGAUGUUAAUUUUUUAAUGACUCAUUCGGCGCCUUACGGGAAACCAAAGUGU
rnacentral:rRNA from 1 species